CCUACGGGGCGCUGCAGUGGGGAAUAUUGGACAAUGGGCGAAAGCCUGAUCCAGCCAUGCCGCGUGUGUGAAGAAGGCCUUCGGGUUGUAAAGCACUUUCAGUGGGGAAGAAAGCCUUGGGGCUAAUACCCUCGAGGAAGGACAUCACCCACAGAAGAAGCACCGGCUAACUCCGUGCCAGCAGCCGCGGUAAUACGGAGGGUGCGAGCGUUAAUCGGAAUUACUGGGCGUAAAGCGCGCGUAGGCGGUCUGAUAAGCCGGUUGUGAAAGCCCCGGGAUCAACCUGGGAACGGCAUCCGGAACUGUCAGGCUAGAGUGCAGGAGAGGAAGGUAGAAUUCCCGGUGUAGCGGUGAAAUGCGUAGAGAUCGGGAGGAAUACCAGUGGCGAAGGCGGCCUUCUGGACUGACACUGACGCUGAGGUGCGAAAGCGUGGGUAGCAAACAGGAUUAGAUACCCUUGUAGUC
rnacentral:rRNA from 1 species